CAGGGAAGCUGUGCUAGAUAAGACUCAAUGGCCUGAAACAUGAAGUGAAAAUAACACAUUAGUUGUCAGCACAGCCAGUUGAAAAGGUGCAUUGGUUAAAAUAUUCUUUUGUUUUACAUAACUUAGUAAAUAAAUCACAGUUCAAACACUAAUUUCUAACAUUUCAUUUACAUGAUUUUCCCAUUACAAACAUCACAACAUACUGGAUAACUUUAAAAAACAGUGACUAUAAAAAA